rnacentral:lncRNA from 1 species
UUGUGACUGGCUUCCUUCACUUAGCAAAAUGUCUUCAAGUUUCAUGCAUGCUAUAGAAGUGUCAGAAUUUCAUUCCUUUCUAGGUGGAAUAAUAUUUCAUUGUAUGUGCUUACCACAUUUGGCUCAUCAUUCCAUCCAUUGACUUUUGUCUAUCUAUUCAUUCCUCUCCAGAUACACCACCCUCCAGGAACUUCAAUGAGUUUGGCUAUCUGGAAGUUUCCAGAACCCUGACCUUUGGAUUUUUAUGGAGGCUUCAUUCAUCUAGACUUCAAAACCUCUGCUUUCUAGGGAAUACAGAGUGAGCUACCAGGAGAUUUUCUGAUUGUCAUUUGGCCAGUCUUCGGUUACUGUGGUUUCAUUUCCUCAACUGCUGCAUUUAUCUCUGUAUCUCCUGAGCCCGACACCUGCUGUAUGAUGGCAUCUGACUCCGUGGCUUGGUCAUUGUCAGUCUGUUGAUGAAAGGUGAGGCCCCUCUCAGCGUGCUGCAGAGCAGAGCUCUGACAUGGCAAACUGAAUCCCAAGCUUCUGUAGUGGUGACUUUGCCCAGAGAAGCACAGCUGCGUGCGUCCUUCUCAGGCAGUUCAGACUUCUCAUGGAGAUGCCCUUCUGCACCCUGGGUCAUCUGGUGAGUGCUGAAGCUAACCCAGGGCGGGGAGAGGGUAGGUGCUGGAGGCUCUGGUUCCACCCUGGACCCAGGGUUUGCUCCUCCUGCUGGUACCUCUAUUCACUGCUGGCGGCGCUGCACAAACCUUUAAGAAAGUGUCUGUCAGGGUUUUCCAAGAACCGUCUCAACAGUCAGUCCUGCUUCUGAGAGUCUAGCGUAAGGAAAUAAAAUGUGACACUCAAUGUAGCAUUACUGAUGAUGAGAAAUUAAAGGCAAGAUAUGUGCCAACAAUACCGUUGGUCCUCUGUGGCUGCAGGUCCCCUUCCAUGGAUUCAACCAACUGCAGAUGGAAAAUAUUUGAAAAAGUUCACAAACCACGCUCCAAGUGUCACAUUGAAUCCUUGUGACUGCAGCCAUGUGUCUGCUGAUCAAGUGGGAGCCUCCUGCCUGCUCCCAGCCCCUCAGUCUCCCUCCAGCUCCAGGUGUUGAGCAUUUCUCCCUUGAUCCUAGAUGCUGUGCAGUUAGGCCUCCCAGGGCUACAUCUGUACGGAAUGUGUACAGAUCUUUUCCUCGUCUCUGUUCCAAUAUAACAACUAUUGACACAUCAUUUACAUUGCAUUUAGUAUUACACAUAAUGUGGAGAUGACGCCAAGUACAUGCGAGGAUAUCGUAGGUUAUGUGCAAAUACUAGGCCAUUUUAUCUAAGGGACUUGAGCAUCGGCAGAGUUCGGCAUCCUUCGGAUCCUGAAUCCAUCCCCAUGGAUACCGAGAGGUUAUAGAGCCACAGCAUCUGUAGCCUUUAAAACAUGGGCAUUCUCAACGGAGUAGAUCUUUUUUUUUCUUUUUAAUAUUUUUCUAGUUGUCAUCAGAUUUUUAUUUUGUUUAUUUUAUAUGUGGUGCUGAGAAUUGAACCCAGGGCCUUACACAUGCUAGUCAAACGCUCUACCAGUGAGCCACAACCCAGCCCCAGAUCUAUUCUUUUUUUUUUGAAGCAGGGGGUAUUGGGGAUUGAACUCAGGGGCACCCGACCACCGAGCCGCAUCCCCAGCCCUAAUUUAUAUUUUAUUUAGAGACAGGGUCUCACUGAGUGCUUAGUGCUUCAAUUUUGCUGAGGCUGGCUUUGAACUCACGAUCCUCCUGCCUCAGCCUCCUUAGUUGUGCUUGGCCAAAUCUGUUUUUGUUUUUUUUUUUGGUGGUGCUGGGGGUUGAACCCAGGGCCCUGUGCAUGCUAAGCAAGCACUCUACUAACUGAGCUGUAUCCCUAGCCUGCAGAUCUAUUCUUAAAACAAGUUAAAUUUGUUCAGGAAAAACUCACCUGUGUUGGUAGAAGCUAGAUGGUUACCUGGGAGCAGGGGUGGUUAUCGACUGGGAAGGUGAAGACACCUUUGGAGCAAUGGAAACGUGCGGUAUUUGUAUCCCAGUGGCAGUUACCUGGGUGGCUGUAUGCACCCGACCUCAGCCCUGGUGCAUGUGCGGUCUGCUCUACGUUAGUUAGACCUCCGUGUAAAACAGGAAGUCCUCAACCAGGAAUUGAUGGCCAGUAGAAUGUCGGCUCCUGGAGAGAAGGGCGGUGGGCCCAGAGCCAGAGCACUGAUCUGCACAUAGAAGACCCUCAAUUAAAACCUAUAGAACAGUGAAAGAAAAUGCUCCUGGUAAAAUACUAAAUGAAAGAAAAAAGGCCCAAAGUUAUACAGCAUUUAAGUGUACUGUCAGUUCAAUGUUAUAAAAACUGAUGAGCAGGAGAAAAUCACCGGAAGGGAAUAGCAUGAGGGGGUGGUGGCACUGUGUUGAGUGGUGGGAUUUGUGUGUGUUGGUGCUGGGGAUUGAACCCAGGGCUUCAUCGUGCAAGGCAAGCCCUCUACCACUGAGCCACGUCCCAGCCCUAAGUGGUGGGGUUAUAAGAGAUGGUUUUUAGAACUUCUUUGGUGAAUAUCUGUUUUCGGUUUUGUCCAGGAUUCUGUGUGUGACUUCAUUUGGAA